AGAGUUUGAUCCUGGCUCAGGACGAACGCUGGCGGCGUGCUUAACACAUGCAAGUCGAACGGAAAGGCCCUUCGGGGUACUCGAGUGGCGAACGGGUGAGUAACACGUGGGUGAUCUGCCCUGCACUCUGGGAUAAGCCUGGGAAACUGGGUCUAAUACCGGAUAGGACCACACACUUCAUGGUGAGUGGUGCAAAGCUUUUGCGGUGUGGGAUGAGCCCGCGGCCUAUCAGCUUGUUGGUGGGGUAAUGGCCCACCAAGGCGACGACGGGUAGCCGGCCUGAGAGGGUGACCGGCCACACUGGGACUGAGAUACGGCCCAGACUCCUACGGGAGGCAGCAGUGGGGAAUAUUGCACAAUGGGCGCAAGCCUGAUGCAGCGACGCCGCGUGAGGGAUGACGGCCUUCGGGUUGUAAACCUCUUUCAGUAGGGACGAAGCGAAAGUGACGGUACCUACAGAAGAAGGACCGGCCAACUACGUGCCAGCAGCCGCGGUAAUACGUAGGGUCCGAGCGUUGUCCGGAAUUACUGGGCGUAAAGAGCUCGUAGGUGGUUUGUCGCGUUGUUCGUGAAAACUCACAGCUUAACUGUGGGCGUGCGGGCGAUACGGGCAGACUAGAGUACUGCAGGGGAGACUGGAAUUCCUGGUGUAGCGGUGGAAUGCGCAGAUAUCAGGAGGAACACCGGUGGCGAAGGCGGGUCUCUGGGCAGUAACUGACGCUGAGGAGCGAAAGCGUGGGGAGCGAACAGGAUUAGAUACCCUGGUAGUCC
rnacentral:rRNA from 1 species